GGUAAAGUGGCCGAGCAGGCGGCGGAUUGUAGCUCCGAAGACAGAGGUUAAAGCCCUUUCUUUAUCAG
rnacentral:tRNA from 1 species